GGCACCGUGGCGGAGUGGCUACGCAGAGGUCUGCAAAACCUCGUACACGGGUUCGAUUCCCGUCGGUGCCU
rfam:Candidatus Spechtbacteria bacterium RIFCSPLOWO2_01_FTLL_43_12 rifcsplowo2_01_scaffold_16480, whole genome shotgun sequence.